rnacentral:rRNA from 1 species
UGGGGAAUAUUGGUCAAUGGGCGAAAGCCUGAACCAGCAACGCCGCGUGAAGGAAGAAGGCCCUCGGGUUGUAAACUUCUUUGACGUGGGACGAAAAAAAUGACGGUACCACGAAAACAAGCCACGGCUAACUACGUGCCAGCAGCCGCGGUAAUACGUAGGUGGCAAGCGUUGUCCGGAAUUACUGGGUGUAAAGGGCGUGUAGGCGGGACUGUAAGUCAGAUGUGAAAUCCUGCAGCUUAACUGCAGAACUGCCAUUGAUACUGAUAGCCUUGGGUUUGGUUAAGGUAGGCGGAAUGUGUAAUGUAGCGGUGAAAUGCUUAGAUAUUACACAGAACACCAAUUGCGUAGGCAGCUUACUGAGCCGACACUGACGCUGAGGCACGAAAGCGUGGGGAUCGAACA